rnacentral:rRNA from 1 species
CGAGAGCCUCGAGCGUUAUCCGGAAUUAUUGGGCGUAAAGGGUGCGUAGGUUGUUUGUUAGUCUUUUGUCAAAGCCCUGGGCUUAACCUAGGAAUCGCGAAAGAAACGGCAAAAACUAGAAAGUGUGAGAGGUGUACGGAACUCAUGGUGUAGGGGUGAAAUCCGUUGAUAUCAUGGGGAACACCAAAAGCGAAGGCAGUACACUGGCGCAUAUUUGACACUGAAGCACGAAAGCGUGGGUAGCGAAUGGGAUUAGAUACCCCAGUAGUCCACGCCCUAAACGAUGAUCUCUCGCUAUUCGGAGUAUCGACCCUCUGAGUGGCUUAGCUAACGCGUUAAGAGAUCCGCCUGGGAAAUACGGCCGCAAGGCUA